AGUAAAACCACUGCAUGAGUGAAAUGACAUCGCAGAGACCAGAUGUUUUAGAGGAUAGAGCUCAAGAUUCUGUGUGUGGGUAAUCAAAAAGGGCUGAGGAUGAGGGUUUUCUUCCCCUUUUAUUUCCUACACUAAUAAGUGAUGCCAGCUGUGAAGCAUUAAUGGAGUACAAAUUUGCCCAGUCAUCAGACAAGGAAUUUCUGUUUCUACUCUUAGCUGCACAAACUGCUAUUUGUCUCAAGUUUGAAGCAAUGCUGAGAAGCUUUGCACCUGAUUUGACUUGAAAGUGCUAAUAGCUAUUCUAAAAGCAAAAUCAACCACUCUCCUGAGAGCUGUAUGAGUAUAAAUCAAAGCCUGUGCCUGCUGUUGCUGCAACAGUGACAAAAACAAAAUAGACAUCUGGUGUGUUUCACUAUAGUAACUUCUACAUUCAGGGGAACUUUGAAGUGCUUCAUGAAUUUCUUUCUAUAGUUAUCUCACAACAGCAAGUUGCAGAAAACUGGAUUAAAUUAAAAGGGAAACCACAUCAACGUAAUCAGAAAAUUAGCAGCAGUUGGAUUCUUAUUUGAACCGCAAAUGCAUGAGUCAGGACCAACACUAUUGAAAUUAAUGACACUUCAGAGUGCAUACAUCUGUAUGAAGCUAAAUAACGCUGAAGUUUGAAGCAGGGGAUGUUGCUUUGCCUUCAGCAGGCAGCAGCUCCCUGCCAGCUCCCUGCCUGCGGUGCUUCGUGGGCUCCCUCUGGCGGUGCCUUCAUUCCUCGCCCUUCAGCUCUCCUGCCUUCUUCCUUCGAGGCUUCUUCCUUGCUGAGCUCCUGCAUCUGUCCCUGUGUGGUUUAAUUCCCCGCCACUGUUUUAGAGCACUUGAGCUGAAAAGGAUUCAAGAGGAACAGAAUGUUUUUCACACUAUUAUGGGGUUUGAUAAGGAGAUGCUUCCUUCUGCCAGCAUGGGGCCUGCAUUAACACGUAACCACUCCGAGGAAAACAUUCUGCAAAAUCAUGGGAGCCCAGAUUCUUGAAGCACCAGGUACCUCCAUACGUCCAUACAGUAUUUAUACACAUCGAUAAGGCAACCAUCACACCUUCCUCCAGCCCCAGCCCUUCACUUCUUGUCUGACAGCUGCUCCAGUCCCUAAUUCUCUGAGUGGCCCUUUCCUGGACUUGUUUUGGGGCUGCUUGGUGAGCGGAUGGUGCUGGUGCUGGGUAGGAGCAGCUUCCAAGAGCUUCCACUUCAGGUAGGGCUGCCACAAACGGGUGUCAGCAGCUGCAACCAGGAGGAAACGCAGUCGGAAUAUGUGACCAGUCUCCCCCAGCCGCCUUCUUUAUCCCAGUAGAAAUUAAAUUAACUUUAAAGGACUAUAAAGGAAGCACGGCGGAUGAGUCAAAAGGAUAAAUACCCUUAAACAAGCAGGUUAAUGAGAUUCUGCUGCGAUAUUAGGAGAAUAUUUGAGCUCCCUAACAGCAUGGGUGUAUCAAGUCUGAAACGGAACAAUUUACAACCCUGGCUCGAAGUAAAUAGUCAUUAAAUGUGAUGCUUCAGAAGACUGUAUAGACCUUAAUUCAUCCUAUCAAGGAAUAAUCUGUUGUGUCAAGACUUGGAAGAAAGCUUCAUUAAAAAAGCAAUUGAAAACUAAAUGCUGGGAUCUAAAUAGCCCAGAAGUAUUUCUGUAAGUAUGAGGGAAUUUGGUAAUCUGGCCUGUGUUUAGAGAUGUGUCGAUGAAGCUUCUUUCAGCAGGUGUAGACACACUUGGAGGCUGGUUAUCUUCUUCUGCCACGAUUAUUUUUCUGUUUUAUGGCAGUUUCUGGGCAGGUGUAUGGUUCACUUGAUAGGUGCCAGACAAAAACAGUUUCAAUUUUGCCAUUGUUAAGUUUUUAAAACAAGUAUUACAAUUAAAAUGACUUAUUUUAAGGUUUUGCUUAAGUAACCAAUGCAGCCUUCUCCAACUCAAGUGGAAACAAACCAUUUUAUUUCGGUUUGCGUAAAAUUCUUCAUUAGGCUGCAAAUGAUUAUUCCUGAUGGAAAAGAGGAAACCCUUUCUUGUCUGGAGCUCCGUUUUUGGUACCUUCCCUCUGUAGUUCAGCCCUUGUGGACUUGCGCUGGAUGCAGACGUGCUGGGUACUCCCUCGUACCUGCAAAUCUUCUUUAUGAUCACCCGUGGCCGCUAUUCAUGUAGCGUGAUGGUAAAACACUGCUGUCGUUUGGGCUAUUACUGUGGCAGGGGACUCCUAAUCCGUUUUCUCACGAUAAAUGUUGUGUGUGCCGUGCCACAUUAACGUUAUAUAGGAUUAAGCGAAGCAAAUAGAGUGGAUUUGAAUCCCCGCCCUGUAAUUAUGUGCAACACAGCUCAGUGGCUGGAAAUACACCGAGUUUUGACUAAUAUACAAGUUUCUGCUGAGAGUAACUGAAGCACUUGGGCUUAUAAUUUCCCCCUUGAGCAGCAUCUUUAUUUUUUAGGAACACUUAAGCAGUAGUGUUUGUUUUAUUUGUCUUUGGGUUGCUUACGUGCUCUGAACAAUUCAGUGUCCCCUGUUCGAUUUAUGUAAUCUGGAUGAAAUUCUAUGGGAUGUUUCUCAUUUCUCUAUUAAUAGAUCUAUAUUGGUUCUUAAGACAUGGUCCCAAAUACCAUGAUUUUUGAAAUUCAGCUUUUUCAUGAAGAAUCCAGCUGUUCGAGCAGCACACUGCUAAACAGCUUACUGCUCAGAUUUGCCUCACUCAGGUAUGCAGCGUAUUACUCAGUGCCACAGACAAGUUUCUUUUGAACAAUGCAACUGAACUUGAAAACAAAUCAAAUCAAAAUGUUUACAAGCUUUUGUGUUUUUAGAAGUCCUCUACAGGAGAGCGCUGUGUGUUCCCGCAGGGCACAGAGAUGAAUUUAGCAUUAUCUGAGUUACGUGGCUGAGGGACGAGAUAGUAAAGAUUUGCUGAAGAUCACACCAAGACCUUGAGCAGUGCUUGCUAUAUUCAAGAUCCACGCUGGAUGUGGCCUCCAAGAGCAGGUGGGAAAAGUGAUGAUGGAUUUCUCACCCACACAGACAUCUUGAGCUAUAGACAAGCCUUGGGUUUUCUCUUCCCGUGCCAAGCUCUAAAUGUGAAUGAACACUUCACAAUUUCAUAGUAGAAAGGAGGGGGAAAGCACCUGUUUCUGCAGGAUGUGGUGUGAAUGCCUAACUCCGCAUGUUCCCCUUGGAAGGAGCCCAGCAAAACUGUGGAUGUGCAAGCCCUGCAUGUGUGGCGGUGCCCUGCUGAGAUCUUCAAGUCCUGCACAGAGCCUGGGUUAGCUGGCUGUCACCUUCUUCUUUUGGCCUCUCUGGGCUAUCACAGGAAUAUUUUUGCUCUUAAAUGGUCACAAACAAGCUCCAUGGGCUGAACAAGCUGCCCUGCACUUGUGAGUGUUGGUAGAGUGCUCAGGGCUGCAGGGGAAGAAGGAAUGGAUGGAGGAUUGGUAAUCAGCAUCUUCAGCUGAUGAUUUAUGCCAGCUUAUUAGAACCGCCUUUCUGCUGUUGUAGCCAGAAAAGGGAUGCCCUUUGUGCAAGGAAACACAUUCUUGGUCUGUAUUCUUCUGGUUUUGGUUGGCUUGGGCCUGAGCUCCCUGGAACUGCAUUUCAGCCACUGCUUCCAGUGUGCUGCCUUGGCUUGGGUGACUCUUUUAUAAAGCUUCUGGAAGGGCAGUCAUCCAGAAGGCAUCGUAUCUUUGCAGAAAAUGUUUAUUAACAGCAGGGAAAAAACAAUAAUCAGUUAUUUAAGGAGGGUUGGAUCAAGUCCUUGUGAAGUACAAUCCCUCUGAUGCGCUGAAGGUCUGCAGAUCAGGUUUCAGCCCAGGGCAGCCUCAGUUGCCUAGCCCAGAUGAUAUUGUCACCAAAGGGCCUGCACUGGGCUGUCGGUGUGACUUGCAAACCUCCCUGCUCGCUGUUAAUGCACUGCUGGGGGAGACUCGUGCAUCACAGACCUGCGGGCGAUCUCCUGAAGCGUGCCGCUGUAACCCAGGCUGACACCUCUCCCCCAGCACCCAGCUCCCACCUCUCCUUCAGCUUCCUUUGUGGGUGCAGUGCCGCUGUGUUAUCUGUCACGCUGCGAUUGUUCCUCUGGGCUCGAUGCUUCCUAUGAUGGCUCCAGCCCUUGGCACAUCACAGAUUAGAUCUUUUUUUCCCCACCUUGACAGCCAGGGUGGUUUUUCACUCCCUUUUGCCUGGGCAGCACAGGUAAUUUGAUUUUGUUCUCCUGCUCAAACAGCUGUGUGGAGCAGCCUGGUGUGACAGGCAAGGAAACGAUGCAACAUCUGAGCUGGGUUUUAAUCAGGCCCCAAAGAUAUGCUGAUUUUGAAGACCUUUCUUUGUCCCUUGCUGGUUUUCCCUCUGCUCUGCAGUGGGGAGGGGAUUGGGAGUGAUAAUCUGCCUGUUUUAUGCAAGCAGCACGGUGCAGCCCCUUGAGCUUCCUCUUCAUGGUAAGAGGUGUGUACCCUUGUCUGUUACGGGCUGACAUAACAAAUGGGUGCAAGGAGUGGAUAACUAACAUGUGAAGAAGCUGAGAGACCACAAAAACCUGUGGCUGCAUUAGCUGAAGUCCUCGUUUCAGGAGCAGAGGCAGUGCCAGCACCUGUGAGCAUCAACAGCUGCUGCUGCAAACCCUGCGGCCACACUGGAGCAGUGUUAGCAGGGCAGGGCUUCCCUCUCCUGCAGCAGGCUUGAUUGUAAUAGAAAAGGAGCCUCAAGAUACAAGAAAAAAGAAAAGAAAGAAGGAAAGAAGAAAGGAAAGAAGAAGUAGCCAGUGAUUACACCUACACUGGGCAAUACCAAAUACCCUGUAAGGAGUAGUGAGAAGUAAAAUCAAAUCCUUUCAAGACCUCUGACUUCUUUUAUUUACUUCUUCUAAACUCUACUUUUUGGACACCUUAAAUCCCGUAGACUUUUAUUUCUAGUAUGUUUACCUUUAGAUACAUAAAACAAAUUUGCCUGUGAUCAAAAUAUGUGUCAGAAGGGCUUCGACACUGAACACUUAGCUUGCUUGUCACAUGAGCAUCUCUUACAGGAGCUCUGGGGACAGUGGUUAGGAGUUGCUUUGUGCUGCUAAAUAAUUGUGCAGGUCUGCUGAAGCUUUUUAGCCAGCUAUAUUGCCUAAGGGUAUAAUGGUCCUGAUUCCUUACUUCAAAUAGGGUUUGCUGCACCUGGAGCCUAGGUUAAUGGAGUACUUUCCAGCUUUGUGCAGUGACAACAAUGAGAAAACCCCUCUGAUUACCCUAUUUCCAUGCAAUUUUCAUGCCUGCUCUCUGUAAACCUAGAGAGUACAGUUUACUUGAUCUCUGCAGCUGUUCGUAAAAUUGUCCAGGAUAAUUGAUUUAAAAAUAUGCUCCGUGGCUUCAUAGCAUCCCUGGGACAUUCUGGGCAUCUCUGCUCUGUCAUCUGUACCCAAGCCAUGCUGAUUCUUCGUGACCGAAUACUUUUUGCGAGUUUAGUGGCCAAGUUUAUGAUUUUGUAGCGUUAAGUACUAGUAGGGGCUAAACCCUGGCAUGGCUGGGCUGUGUAGUGGUCCCACAGGCUCUGAAACGAGGAGAUACUUGAGGAAAAAAUGUUGACUUGCUUUAAUGCUGGAUCCAGGAUUUGUGGAGCACGCGGGGAAUACCUGGCAGAGCUAAAUCCUGAAGCUGCCACAGCUCCUGACUUCCAUUCCCUGCUUGUACAGCUGGAUCAUCCUUUCUCUUUGCUGUAGUAUUUUUUGUUUGUUUGUUUUGUCUAGCACUGCAGCAAAACCAGCUGGGUUGUGGCUGUGGAGUGGCCCUGUGAACUUAACAAGAACAAACAAGGCAUUUGUGGUCCACCAGUUGUUUUUUGCUGUGCCCAGAAGGUGUGCUUAAACCUGCACACGUAUUCCUCCAACUGUACUUGCCUUUUAUUUUCUUUGUGCUACUUCCCUACACGUUCCUCCAUCCUGUCCAGGAGGACAAAGUCCUAAUCCUGCACUGUUUUCAUGCUGAAAAGAGAACUUUGUAUUCUGCCUGUGUUCUUCUUUUCUAUAGGAAACAAGAUUCGGGCAGUUUCCAUCCAAACCAUCUGGGUGCUCUCCUGGACCGCUUGAUCUGCUCUUGCAGAAGCUUCCAGAUUUUAAGCAGAGCAGGAUGAAAUACAGAGAUUUGUUUCUUGUUAGGAUGACACAUCUAUGUAUUAGUUGAUGCUUAUUUGCAGCUCAGCUGUUUCCAUGUGGUUCCCUUCUGUUUAUUCUUUAAUAGUACACAGGGCCGGAGGAUACGUCUCUCUUCUCCUUUAAAUCUGUAUUCUGCUGCUGUCUCAUCUGUUUAAUACAUUUCCUUUACAAAUCUAGACUUAUGUUUCAGCUUAAUGCCAGCAAGAGCUCUGGAAGGAUUUAUUCUUCUGGACCCUAAUGUAAAAUGAGUAAUGCUAGAACUGGCUCCCUUGGUAGCAGCAACACAUUUUACUACUGAUUGUCAGAAACAAUAAAAAAGGGAAUAUGUUGGUA